rnacentral:rRNA from 1 species
CCUACGGGUGGCAGCAGUGAGGAAUAUUGGUCAAUGGACGAGAGUCUGAACCAGCCAAGUAGCGUGAAGGAUGACUGCUCUAUGGGUUGUAAACUUCUUUUAUAAAGGAAUAAAACGAGGCACGUGUGCCGUUUUGCAUGUACUUUAUGAAUAAGGAUCGGCUAACUCCGUGCCAGCAGCCGCGGUAAUACGGAGGAUCCGAGCGUUAUCCGGAUUUAUUGGGUUUAAAGGGAGCGUAGAUGGGUUGUUAAGUCAGUUGUGAAAGUUUGCGGCUCAACCGUAAAAUUGCAAUUGAUACUGGCAGGCUUGAGUACAGUUGAGGUAGGCGGAAUGCGUGGUGUAGCGGUGAAAUGCUUAGAGAUCACGAAGAACCCCGAUUGCGAAGGCAGCUUACUAAACUGUGACUGACAUUGAUGCUCUAAAGUGUGGGUAUCAAACAGGAUUAGAUACCCGAGUAGUC